rnacentral:rRNA from 1 species
AACGAACGCUGGCGGCAUGCCUAACACAUACAAGUCGAACGAGAUCUUCGGGUCUAGUGGCGCACGGGUGCGUAACGCGUGGGAAUCUGCCCUUUGGUUCGGAAUAACAGUUGGAAACGACUGCUAAUACCGGAUGAUGACGAAAGUCCAAAGAUUUAUCGCCAGAGGAUGAGCCCGCGUAGGAUUAGCUAGUUGGUGGGGUAAGGGCGCACCAAGGCGACGAUCCUUAGCUGGUCUGAGAGGAUGAUCAGCCACACUGGGACUGAGACACGGCCUGACUCCUACGGGAGGCAGCAGUGGGGAAUAUUGGACAAUGGGCGAAAGCCUGAUCCAGCAAUGCCGCGUGAGUGAUGAAGGCCUUAGGGUUGUAAAGCUCUUUUACCCGGGAUGAUAAUGACAGUACCGGGAGAAUAAGCUCCGGCUAACUCCGUGCCAGCCGCCGCCGUAA